CUUUCGUCCCCGCCAUGGCUGAGCUGAUCCAGAAGAGACUGCAGGGAGAAGUGGAGAAAUAUCAACAGCUACAGAAAGACUUGAGUAAAUCUAUGUCAGGGAGGCAGAAGCUUGAGGCACAACUAACAGAAAAUAAUAUCGUGAAAGAGGAACUGGCCCUGCUGGAUGGGUCCAAUGUGGUCUUUAAACUUCUGGGUCCUGUGCUGGUCAAACAGGAGCUAGGGGAAGCUCGGGCCACAGUGGGGAAGAGGCUGGACUAUAUCACAGCUGAAAUUAAGCGAUAUGAAUCCCAGCUCCAGGACCUUGAGCGGCAGUCAGAGCAACAAAGGGAGACCCUCGCUCAGCUGAAACAGGAGUUCCAGCAGGCCCAGGCAAGCAAAGGCAGGAGCUCCUGGGAAACCCUGACCCCAUGGUGGGGGGAAGGGGUAGGGAGGGGAGGGAAUGAGGCAGCUCUAGGAUCUAUGCUGUAGCUAAUAAAAUGUACAAACACCUGGCUGUUUUCUGAUCAGCCACUUCUGUCAAAAAAAAAAAAAAAAA